UCCUGGGCAUUCCUGCCAUGUUCGUCGGGUGGGAAUUAAGUGCAGCUCUGCCUGCAGGUGGUGGAAGGCCUCCAGUCAUGGCCAGCCCUGGCUAACCUGGCCUUUUAUCUCAGGAGUAUAGCAUCGUGAUCCAGCAGCUCUCAAAUGGCAAAUGGGUCCCCUUUGAUGGCGAUGACAUUCAGCUGGAGUUUGUCCGCAUUGAUCCUUUUGUGAGGACCUUCCUGAAGAAGAAAGGUGGCAAAUACAGUGUUCAGUUCAAGUUGCCCGACGUGUAUGGUGUAUUCCAGUUUAAAGUGGAUUACAACCGGCUAGGCUACACACACCUGUA
rnacentral:lncRNA from 1 species